GACAGGUGCUGGAUAGAUCAUGGCCAUCCCUCCAGCUGCCCCGUACACAUCUCAGGCCCUCCCAGAUGGCAUCUGGGAGCUCUAAUCCAGCUGUAGGAUGGUACGUGGCUGGCUUUUCCUGCUUUGGACUGUGACUUUACAGCAAGAUGUCCCCACUCAAAGAUAAGAUGGACUUCCAAAUGAGGUGAAGCAAGAUAUCAUUGAAGUUGGAUGGAUACAAAGCAAGGGCAGAGCAGGGGGAGAACGAGAAGGGGAGAUCACAGCAACCAUCGCAAAGAAUCAGGAUCCUCCAGACAAUAUCUGUCCUUCAACUGGCAUCAGGCUUUCCUCUCACGGUCUGUGGAAACCCAGGGGUCUGUGUCUAGGGGUGUAUUAAGUUUUGUCUGACUGUCUUUGGACAGACAGGAGGGAGGAAGAUUCUGUGGAAUAGAUAAACUAGAAGAGGUUGGUGAUGGAUUAAAAAUUGGAAUCCAACCCUGUCAAUGUGUUUAUUUGAUUUCCACAUUCUCCUACCCCCUUUAUUCCCAUUCCUCUUUUCCCUUCCCCCAGAC